rnacentral:rRNA from 1 species
UACGUAGGGCGCAAGCGUUGUCCGGAAUUAUUGGGCGUAAAGAGCUCGUAGGCGGCCAGUUGCGUCUGCUGUGAAAUCCCGGGGCUCAACCCCGGGCGUGCAGUGGAUACGGGCUGGCUAGAGGCAGGCAGGGGAGAACGGAAUUCCCGGUGUAGCGGUGAAAUGCGCAGAUAUCGGGAGGAACACCGGUGGCGAAGGCGGUUCUCUGGGCCUAUACUGACGCUGAGGAGCGAAAGCGUGGGGAGCGAACGGG